rnacentral:rRNA from 1 species
UACAGAGGGUGCAAACGUUGCUCGGAAUCAUUGGGCGUAAAGCGCACGUAGGCGGCCUAGCAAGUAGGGAGUGAAAGCCCUCGGCUUAACCGAGGAAGUGCUUUCUAAACUACUAGGCUUGAAUACUGGAGAGGGUCGCGGAAUUCCCGGUGUAGAGGUGAAAUUCGUAGAUAUCGGGAGGAACACCAGUGGCGAAGGCGGCGACCUGGACAGAUAUUGACGCUGAGGAGCGAAAGCCAGGGGAGCAAACGGG